rnacentral:tRNA from 1 species
UGGCGGGUGUCGCGGGUGCGGCGGCGCUGCUGGUGCUGACGGUCACUCAGCGGAUCCUGGCCGCUCCCGCCCGC